rnacentral:lncRNA from 1 species
CAAGAUGAUGAAUCUAGAGGAUGGGUGGAACUUCAUCAUGAAGAAGGGCAUCAAAAAUCUCAUGAGCAUCCUCGAGGGCAAGCUGGAGCCGUGGUUCAACUCCGAGGAUUCACAUUGCUCUACACGUAAGUCGCCUCCGUCCCAGCCUCUCUCUGACCAUGCGUAGGCUAUGUUCGAUUCGAUCUGAUCUGGUGCUCAUCUUGGCGCCCGCUAUUUGUCUCUUUUUGUGGCCCAGCUCGCAAAAGCCCCAGCACUACUCGCAGCAGCUCUACGACAAGUACCAUCUAUCCUUCGAAGAGUAUAUCCGGGCCAUGGUGAGCUGAUUCUUUCUCCUGCUAAUGCGUACAUGUUGUGUCAUGUGUUCAGAUUAUCCCUUACUUUGUCUUUGUAUGCGUAUCUGUUUUUUAGAAUCGUGUAUGUGUAUCGGUUGAUUCUCUGAUUGUGUUUUGGUUUCUACAGUCCUAUCAUUUUAGUUUUGCCUCGGCCAAGACAGGAGUUUUGCAAGGCAAUUACCUGAUGCACUUCUAUGCACAACAAUUUGUAAAUCUCUUGAAUUAAGAAUGCCGCCAACAUCUUGCCCGACUAGGUAAGUCACCCAUAACUUCAGACUUUCUCCUAAGAAAAGAAGCAAUUUUCAAAUGUCUCUUUCAUUUGGGAACUGUAGUAAUGGUUACUAACAAAAGGGACGAGGGACGACAAUACUUGACACCUCUUACACUAGAAUUACUGUAAAAGUGUCUGUCAAUAGAAAGAUAGUUUGAUCUUAAAACUUACUUUUAGAUCUUUAGCUUUUGGCCAGGUGUAUCAUCCAAGAUGCCAUGCUUCUGAACUUAGCUAGCUCAGGUCGUUAUGGGCACCUGUGACCACCUGACUGGAACUCUGAAGAUUCUUGGAUGAAGGGCAAACCUAAAAAAUCUUAUGUCCCAGCCUCACCAUCCAACUAACCAAGAUACGUUUUAGCCGUCAUUGUCAAGUUCCACUAGUAGAAAACGGAGCUUUAAUAGCGGUUCAUAAGGGCCUUUAGUGCCGGUUCUGCAACCGGCACUAAAGAGUGGAGACUAAAGCCCCCCCUUUAGUACCGGUUCGGCACGAACCGCCACUAAAGGCCCACCACGUGGCGUGAGCUCGCGCCGUGGUAUGGGGGACCUUUAUUACCGGUUGGUGUUACCAACCGGUACUAGAGGUAUAUUUUUUUGAAAUUAUUUUUUGAAAAUUUUGGAGAAAAUUGAUUUUUUUUAUUUUCAAUUUUCUGAAUUAUUUGAUGGUUUAGUCUCUAAUCACCACUCUUAACUGCUCAAGUGUGGGUCACUCAUUCCAAAUCGUCUAACUUCCCGACCGGUCACCCAUCCUUUCACUCCCCCAACCUGAGCAUGCUUAACUUCGGAGUUCUAUUCCCCCUACUUUCCAAGUCUGCACUUGUUGUUUUCCUGAAAAAUGUAAGCUGUAAAUCCUAUUAACCCUCAGCAGUUAAGCUUGAGCAUUAGGUCACAAAUUUCACCGUUUGAGUUUGAAACUAUUAUUCUAAAAAACAGUAAUUAUUUAGUAACACUAAUAUUUCUUGAAUAAGUUUGACCAUAGUUUGACCACAGUUUGACCACAGUUUGACCAUAGUUUGACUAGAUUUGACCAAAAUUCAAAAAAAUUAAAUAAUUAUUUGUAACACUAAUAUUCUUGAAUAAGUAUGUAGUAACAUUAAUACUUCUUGAAUAAGUAGUUUGACCAUAGUUUGACCAGAUUUAACCAAAAUUAAAAAAAAACUUAAAUUUGAGCAUAUCUUUUUCUCCUUUUGGAAUUUGAGGAUUCUAAAAAAUUGCAAACAGGCCGUAGGAAGUCAAAAUCGGAUGCGGAUUUUCGUGCUGAAUUUUUUGAUAUAUUAUACGUUUUUUUCCGACAUCGUAUGCAAAAGUAAGUUUUCAAAUUUUCCUAACUAGUAGAUGUAGUAAUAUAACUACCUCUCGAAGGAUUUUAUUUUUGGAAGUUUUUAUCAUUUUCUUUUGAUUUUUUCAAAACUGAAAUGGCGAUACACGGGGGGUAGAGUUUGAAAAUUGCCCUAUAGUGCCGGUUUGUGUCUCCAACCGGUACUAUAGGUCAGACCCCUUUAGUACCGGUUCGUGGCAUGAACCGGUACUAAAGGUUAGCCCUUUAGUACCGGUUUGUGACACGAACCGGCACUAAAGGUGAUCGUGGGGCCCCGACCUGACGCCAGCCUGCCAUCACCCCUUUAUUACCGGUUCGUGGCACGAACCGGUACUAAAGGUUCAACACGAACCGGCAUUAAUGCAUAGCCAUUCGAACCGGCACUAAUGGUACCAUUAGUACCGGGCUAAAAUCAAACCGGGACUAAUGUGUCUCACAUUAGGUCCUUUUUCUACUAGUGUUCACAUAAACACCUAUAGAUUGGUAAUUCACGAACAGCUUUAAACAGAUGUUACAAACUCAAUAAGUAAUGGCACACGAGGAGACACACGAUUUUGACUUUAUAAUACCAUUCUCGGAAUGAAUCUCACGAUCAACUUUUAUGCCACACCCCCAUUAUCGACCUUGAUGGCUAAUACGGUUGUCGGUGUCUCCAGGUCCCCCCUGCAGCAUGGUAACUGACAUCUGCAGCGUUGAGCCAAGCACCAUUGAUGCAGUCUCAUAUGUGGAUGGCUUCUUUACUUUUCUUUAGUAUUUCUGGUGCUUACUUAUCAUCGUCUUUUUCUGGUUGAAGGUCUUCAUUAUAGCAUAUUAAACGUUACAUUGGAUAGAUACGUGGUUCCUGAUGGAAUAAUUUUCUUUCUCAUGGCUUUUCAUUUGUGUUAUACUGUUAUCCAUUAGUUUGCAUCU